AUUUAUUGAAAAAUAAAUAUAUUUAUGCAAGUACGGGACGGUACGGGUUUUAAUAUUAUUCAAUUGCGGAGCACGAAAAGCUUACGCGCAAAUUAUCAAGAACUUCAAAAUUGUCAAUAGAAGAGGUUCUAGCACGUACAGUUCUGGUGUUUUACUACAAUUUGAUGUCCAACACAAUGUAAUGUUAUGCUGCAGACAUCGCCGUAGUGUACAACACUGGACAAUCGUAUUUGUAUGGUUUUAAUUUUCUUUAUUCGUACUCGGUCAUUUUCGACCCAGUAAUAUAGUUUACUUGGUGCUAGAGAUGUCUUUGCUGUUCAUGGGAGAUUCUCAUAGAGCUCAAUUUCUGGCGUAUAUUUAUAAACUGCAAAGAUAUGAUUUACUUAAUAUUGAUUCGGCAAUUGACGUGAAGUUCUGUGGAAUUAGUGGCGGUUGUUUAACAAACUCGAACCAUGUCCUGUUCUUUCAAGAUUGAUUAGUGAAGCAUCGUCCUGACUAUGGUGUCAUGUUCAUUGGUGGUAACGAUAUUGAUUAACCAGGCUCUACUGCAUUAAAUGCAGAGACCAUAGCAUUACGAAAUGUUUCAAUUGCUAAGCUUUUCUUACGUUGCUACAAUCCGAAACAUAUCUUUUUUGCCAAUUUAUUCUAAGGCAACACACCCGCCACAUCCCAGCGUACAUACACAAUGAUUUUAUUACUGAGAAAAGCAAACAGGGUGUUUAAGCAAGAACUUGGAAUACUUAACGUACUGGAAUUUGAAAGGAAUGAAACAUUCUAAUGCUAACAUUUUACAGAUAGAUGGUGUUCAUUUCAACAACCUGGGAUUUGAAAUUUUUCCACAAUGUGAGAGAAAUGAUUUUGAAAUGCAUUGCAGAUAUGUAAUUCACACAUGUACUGGAAGAUACUGUAUUCUAAUUGGUGGCACAUUUGUAUCUAUAUUAUCAAAUAACAACAGCGAAGGCUGCUGCAGCUGGGGAAGCUGCUAAAACCGAACGAAGAACAAACCAAAUUGAGCAGGUUUCAGAAGCUAACACAUCCAAUUUAUCAGAAAAAGACUUGAACACAAUUAUAUCAAAUGUUGUUCCUGCUGUCACACAAGGUAUGUUGUAGGUUUUAAAAGACUUGAAGGUACUACCGCCUGACUAUUCAGAACCAAAACUUCGGAAAAGAACAGAUACCUUUGGAAUCCACACAAAGCACUUCAACAUCUGCUCCAACACCAACUUUGCCAGCUUCAGUUAUGAAUCAAAAUUCUGCCACAUUUUGCAUCCACUUUUUCUUGGUAUUGAUGAAAAAAUCAAAGCUAAGAUUGUAUCAGAUCAGUUUGUGGAGUUAGAUUCCAUAUAAAAUAAAGGUGAUUAUCAAUAUCAUUUAGUCGAAAAUGGCAGUGGGGAACUCUCGUUCA